GUUUAAGCACGCAAGAUAACAUGCUUAUUUAUUUGCUUACUCAGUUUCCCCAUCAACUGCCUUUUUCUUGCCAAGCCUCUCAACCCUUCUCCCUAAAGAAUGCACUCUGGAGCAUCCUCACAGGCUUGUUAGCAUUCACCAUCUGCAUCUGACAAGAAAGACCGCACUGUUUCUCUCCGAUCAAUCAGAGGGCCCCCCCUGAAAAACCGCAUCAUCCGCCGAACGCCAACACCUCUGUCUUCGCUGCUCUUCUGGCGACUGGGGGACUGCGGGUGUGAUUCUGGGCACUGGGAUACCUAGAAACUGGGUCCUGUGGUCAGUGCCAGUUUCCAUGGUUCCCCGCUGUCAAAAGGAGGUCCUUUCUGGGCCUGGCGUGUUUGAGAAGGCCUCGUGAAAAGAUGGCUCUGUGUCCUGAGGUCCCGAGCCCACCGAGAGCAGAAUUCCUCUGUGACUCUGGCUGGGUCGGGGUUGCGCAGCACAGCGGAUGGAAGGGAAAAGGAGGAGGGGGACACACAGAAGCAGCAUGUUUGGGUCCUGGCUCGGAGCCAUGCAUCAGUUAGGAGCUCUGGGGAGUGGGUCUCAGUGGGGCUUCACAGGAGGGAAGUAAAGAGGCCAGUGUGUACAAAUUAACGCCAGCAAACACACGUCCAACUGCAAAGAUACAAACAGACACAAGCAGCUAUCUGUGCUGGUGUCAGUUUGUUUGUAUAUCAAACCGCAGUUUUCACAAAGAUGGAUGAUUUUCAUAUUUUUAGGAAUCUGGAAUCGUCUAUUUUUGGCAGUGAAGUAAAACUCUGGACUAAUCUUUGGCUGAGUGGAUCCCAGAGGAGCAGACAGUUGGAGCUGAAGGUGCCGAUGUGCUGCUCUGACACGUCCAGGACACAGAAGCAACAUUGGCUGCAGUGAAGCUGUCAGGAGGUUCAGCUGUUUGCUGCUGUGGCCUGAAGCUUCUCCUGUUGAAGGACGAGUAUGUGAUGUCACCGAGCUGAGAGAUGAUCUCAGACAGCAACGAAUACCAUGUUCGCUACAUCAAAUGUUCUCUUCAGCAUGUACAAGCACCUUCAAUCAACACACACCUAAGGGUGCAUACUGAAUAUAACUGUUUGACAAUUGAUGUAUUCUUUAUCUUUCACUCUUAACUAAAAUAAAAACUUUUCCACUGCC